AAAAAUAAUUCUUUAUUUAUUUUCCUUUCUUUAUGAUUUUUUUUUUUUAACAAUUUGCUGUUAAAACAAAUAUCGCAUUGAAAUAAUCCAUCCUCAUUUUACUCGAGAAUAUGCUCGAAUAGGAAUCUAUUAAUCACAUGUGCGAAGUUGUUAAAAAUAUAAGUUAAGUUGCUCUAAUUUUGUUAGUCUGGUUCGGGUGGUCAGAAAUUUCGAGGUGGAGAUAAUAGAGUGCACCGUCCCAACAUCUUCCGUUGCCCCCACAACGUAUUUCAAAUAUGUUAUUUUGUCCAUACUUUUUUCAAGAAUUUCAAAAAGGUCAUUACAAUUUUCAAAUUUUGUCCCCACAAUUAAAAUUUUAUGAAUUGGCUCUACGGUUAUUUUCUUCUAGCUUCAUCCUUGUCUCACUCCAUGGGUUCUUCUUCCAUACUAUUUCUCCAUUGUUUGAAGUUCCCGUUCGGAAAAUUUCAGCCAUAGGCUAACAUUUUUUGCUACUACUUCCAUAGUCCCCUACAAAUGGGUCGAUUUUAGUCAGUUUUCUUAUGAUUUGUUGUUCAAGACUAUGCCCUUGUUUUUGUAUUAAUUUCAAUUAGAUUUUAAUCUAAAUCAAUAUUAAUCACAUCAUUUUAUGGAUUUCACAAUUUUUCAAUCAUAC
rnacentral:lncRNA from 1 species